GAUGAACGCUGGCGGCGUGCUUAACACAUGCAAGUCGAACGGUGAAAGCGGAGCUUGCUCCGCUGGAUCAGUGGCGAACGGGUGAGUGACACGUGGGCAACCUGCCUUUCACUUCGGGAUAACUCCGGGAAACCGGGGCUAAUACCGGAUAUGACCUCUGCGGGCAUCCGCGGAGGUGGAAAGUUUUUCGGUGAAGGAUGGGCCCGCGGCCUAUCAGCUUGUUGGUGAGGUAGUGGCUCACCAAGGCGACGACGGGUAGCCGGCCGGAGAGGGCGAGCGGCCAGACUGGGAGUGAGACACGGCCCAGACUCCUACGGGAGGCAGCAGUGGGGAAUAUUGCGCAGUGGGCGAAAGCCUGACGAAGCAACGCCGCGUGCGGGAUGACGGCCUUCGGGCUGUAAACCGCUUUCAGCAGGGAAGAAGCCGCAAGGUGACGGUACCUGCAGAAGAAGCACCGGCUAACUACGUGCCAGCCGCCGCCGUAA
rnacentral:rRNA from 1 species